rnacentral:misc_RNA from 1 species
AACCAUUCUCACCUGCGGCUAGACCUGCGGAAGGAUCAUUACCGAGUUUACAACUCCCAAACCCCUGUGAACAUACCUAUACGUUGCCUCGGCGGAUCAGCCCGCGCCCCGUAAAAAGGGACGGCCCGCCCGAGGACCCCUAAACUCUGUUUUUAGUGGAACUUCUGAGUAAAACAAACAAAUAAAUCAAAACUUUUAACAACGGAUCU